AUUGAACGCUGGCGGCAUGCCUUACACAUGCAAGUCGAACGGGCAGCGGACCUUCGGGUGCCGGCGAGUGGCGAACGGGUGAGUAAAGCAUCGGGAACGUACCUUUCAGUGGGGGAUAACUGUCCGAAAGGGACAGCUAAUACCGCAUAUUCUGUGAGCAGGAAAGCAGGGGAUCGCAAGACCUUGCGCUGAAUUGAGCGGCCGAUAUCAGAUUAGCUAGUUGGUGAGGUAAAGGCUCACCAAGGCGACGAUCUGGUAGCGGGUCUGAGACGGAUGAUCCGCCACACUGGAACUGAGACACGGGUCCAGACUCCUACGGGA
rnacentral:rRNA from 1 species